rnacentral:tRNA from 1 species
GGUCUCAUAGUUCAACUGGAUAGAAUGUAGGAUUCCGAUUCCUAUGAUAGGGGUUCGACUCCCCUUGAGAUCA